UACGGAGGGUGCAAGCGUUAUCCGGAUUCACUGGGUUUAAAGGGUGCGUAGGUGGGUUGGUAAGUCAGUGGUGAAAUCUCCGAGCUUAACUUGGAAACUGCCAUUGAUACUAUCAAUCUUGAAUAUUGUGGAGGUUAGCGGAAUAUGUCAUGUAGCGGUGAAAUGCUUAGAUAUGACAUAGAACACCAAUUGCGAAGGCAGCUGGCUACACAUAUAUUGACACUGAGGCACGAAAGCAUGGGGAUCAAACAGG
rnacentral:rRNA from 1 species